GACGAACGCUGGCGGCGUGCUUAACACAUGCAAGUCGAACGGACAGGCCCUGCUUUUGUUGGGUUCUCGAUUGGCGAACGGGUGAGUAACACGUGAGUAACCUGCCCUUGUCUUUGUGAUAACUUCAGGAAACUGGGGCUAAUACCCGAUAGGAGCUCCUGCUGCAUGGUGUGGGUUGGUAAGUUUCGGCGGUUGGGGCUGGACUCGCUGGUUAUCCGCUUGUUGGUGGGGUAGUGGCUUACCAAGGCUUUGACGGGUAGCCUGCAUGAGAGGGUUAACAGGCACAAUGGGACUGAGAGAGGGCGCAGACGGGUAUGGGAGGCAGUAGGGGGGAAUAUUGCACAAUGGGCGGAAGCGUGAUGUAGAAACGCCGCGUGCGGGAUGACGUGUUUCGGGUUGUAAACCGCUUUGGCAGGUGACGAAGCGUGAGUGACGGUAAUGGGUAAAGAAGCACCGGCUAACUACGUG
rnacentral:rRNA from 1 species